rnacentral:ncRNA from 1 species
AGCGGGGGUACCGGACAAUGCAUCCGGUUGAGAUCAGACCCAUUGAACCUGAUGCGGGCAAUGCCGCCGAAGGGAAGCGCAAUC